UCCUAUAGACUCAAUACUGACUUCUGAUGCUGUAUGAGUCUAUGGGAGAGUAUAUUAAUCCUACGGUAAUAAAAGUUAUCAUAGGAUCCUAUAGAUUCAAAACUGACUUCCGAUGUUGUUCAGGUUUUAUAGGAGAGUAUAUUAAUCCUAUAGUAAUAAAGGUUAUCAUAGGAUCCUAUAGACUCAAUACUGACUUCCGAUGUUGUUUCAGGUUUUAUAGGAGAGUAUAUUAAUCCUAUAGUAAUAAAGGUUGUCAUAGGAUCCUAUAGACUCAAUAGCCUACUGACUUCCGAUGCUGUGGUCGGGUUUUAUAUUAAAGUUUAAACGCGAAUUUCUGUUGUGAGAUGUAUUUGAAGAUUGGGUCGGGCACUCCAGAG
rnacentral:lncRNA from 1 species